UCAUAAUAAAAAGUAAAAAAGAUAUUUAUUAAUGUAAAAACUUAUAUUAUUCCAACAAUAUAAUCUUAUCUGAUCGAAUUAUAAAAUAUAUUUUAUUUAUAAUAUAAUAUUUAUUUUUUAAACUUACUUGAGCGUCUUGAACGAUGACAACCCGCCAAAGAAUCACGAGCCCAAAUGAAGAUUAUUAAAAUAACAGUCACGUUUUUAAUAUCAUUAUUUAUCACGGGGUUUUGACAAGUGGAUGACCGAAUUAAAUGUGAUGAAGAAUUAAGUUAACACAUUCGGUAAAUUUUUUACAGAGAGUUUGAAUUUUAUCCGGCGAUUCUACGAGAGGAAGUCGUAGUAUAGCUACAGCGAGAGCUAUCGAUCGACUGUUCGCGAGAGGAAAAAGUCGCCGUAGAAGAGGGAACGAAACCGGACAAGACGAAGACGUUGAAGCUGAAGAUGAGGUCGUUCGACUUUGUCGAGAUCUUAUGUGCCACGAUAGAGCGUAAAAGUACACACGUGCGCGCUGUAGUAGAUGUUAAAUUAAUUGGCUCUCCGAGACAGACACAUCAAGCAGGACUCACUGCAAAGUAGACGGAAGAAAGACCGCACGAUCUGCCACUUUUUUUCUUGUUUCCGAGAGCAUUAUCAGAAGAUGAUCGUCUGAGCGGUUAAUGGAAGGAGCAUUAAAGGUAGAACCAGCUCCGGGCGACCCUGAAUUUCUUUCCCGAUUUCACGGAUAGUAUAUCGUUCACUCUCUUCUACAGAAAAACAGUGCACUCCAAUUACAAAAUUCUUGGAUUGCAAAAAGGCAUCUCUCGAGUAUUAUAAUAUCGUUGACAUUGUAGUCUUUCGUCAUCGUUGAAUCAGAAGAAAAUAUCUCAAGAACAGAAGCUAUAUGCAAUUACAUCGAAUGUAUUAAAGGAUCCAUACCUUAGCACCUAGAUUUGUCCAUGGUUUUGGCAAUCCGGAACUGAGCGUAUUAUCCGGAAAUACACGUACUCCACCCGCACCGACGCCAAGGGUAAUAUA